GAUGAACGCUGGCGGCGUGCCUAACACAUGCAAGUCGAACGGAGUCCAGCCUUUAAGACCUUCGGGUCAAAGAGGGGAAGACUGAGUGGCGGACGGGUGAGUAACACGUGGGCAACCUGGCUCAUAGAGGGGGAUAACAGAGAGAAAUUUCUGCUAAUACCGCAUAAGCACACACUGCCGCAUGGCAGAGGGUGAAAAGAGAAUCGCUAUGAGAUGGACCCGCGUCUGAUUAGCCAGUUGGCAGGGUAAGAGCCUACCAAAGCGAAGAUCAGUAGCCGAUCUGAGAGGAUGAACGGCCACAUUGGGACUGAGACACGGCCCAAACUCCUACGGGAGGCAGCAGUGGGGGAUAUUGCACAAUGGGGGGAACCCUGAUGCAGCGACGCCGCGUGAGUGAAGAAGUAUUUCGGUAUGUAAAGCUCUAUCAGCAGGGAAGAUAAUGACAGUACCUGAAUAAGAAGCCCCGGCUAACUACGUG
rnacentral:rRNA from 1 species